AAGUGUCAUCUUUCACCGGGCCAGAUAUCUUUUUGUUCAUUCAUUAUUGCAUAAGUCAAUAGAUCGUCAAAAGAAAGGCUUGCACCGAACCGAAGAAAGGAAAAAUGUGAUGUUGAUGAAAAAUUAGUGGAACGCCAUCCAGGGGCGCAACGCAAUCAGACCUAGUACUCACCUAAGUUAGAAUUUAAUUGAUCUUGAGAAGGGGCGAAAAUUGUAUAACAAAGUCCUUUGAAAUAGAGGAGAAAUAAGAGAAGAUGAUGGCAAGAGAAGAGUUAAUAUGAAUAGAAAGGACGGACUACGAAACAUUCUACAUAUACUAUUACUUUAAAGAGAAAAUAGCGACUUAAUGAAACGCACUGAAGAUACAGGUUAGAAUUUAAUUGACUUUGAGAAGGGGCGAAAAUUGUAUAACAAAGUCCUUUGAAAUAGAGGAGAAAUAUUUAGAAAUAAGAGAAGAUGAUGGCGAGAGAAUAGUGACUAUGAAUAGAAAGGACGGACUACGAAACAAUAUAAAAAGAUGAUGUGCAUGGCCAACCAUCAAUUAGGAAAAAAAAAUCAUGAAAGAAGCAAGAUUUAUAUAUGAAUAAAUAAGAAAUAUGAAUUAACACCAUCGUAUGGCAGAGCGUCACUCGGCCCGUUAUAACCCGACUCAGACAAAACAUUCUACGUGCUGAUUGGGGUAUGCGAUGAGCUGUGUGAUUGACACCUCUUGAUACUUAGAUAUAUGACAGAUAAUUAAUUUAUUUUUGCCACAAUCACACACAUACAAAAUAAUAUGCAGCUUAAGUAAAAUUAAUAAAUUAUAAAAAAGCAUAUACAAAGCACACAUUCACAGCACAAAAAAAAAUAAUUUGAGUGUUCAACAAAAAGGUCAGGGGAAUUAUAUAUCUAGCUGACAAAAAACCUUACCUGACAAAAAAGUAAAAAAUUGAACAAUGCACGUUAUUAUUUUAUAUUCAAUGAUAAUUUAGUUUCCUAUAAAAAAAUAAUUCUCCAUCUCUUCCUCUUAGUAUCAUGAAAGUCGAUUAAAGGAAUCGAAUACUGAAUAUGUGCCUUAAAUCAUUGUGAAAUACAUAUAAU